AACGAACGCUGGCGGCAGGCCUAACACAUGCAAGUCGAACGGGUGUAGCAAUACAUCAGUGGCGCACGGUAGAGUAACGCGUGGGAACCUACCUCUUGGUUCGGAACAACGUCGGUAAACUGACGCUCAUACCGGAUACGCCCUACGGGGGGAAGAGUUAGCGCCGAAAGAUGGGCCCGCGUUAGAUUAGCUUGUUGGUGAGGUAACGAGUCACAAAGGCUACGAUCUAUAGCUGGUCUAAGAUGGUGAUCAGCCUCACUGGGACUGGGACACGGCCCAGACUGCUACGGGAGGCAGCAGUGGGGAAUAUUGGACAAUGGGGGCAACCCUGAUCCAGCCAUGCCGCGUGAAUGAUGAAGGCCUUCGGGUUGUAAAGUUCUUUUGGCGGGGACGAUGAUGACGGUACCCGCAGAAUAAGCUCCGGCUAACUUCGUGUCAGCCGCCGCAGUAA
rnacentral:rRNA from 1 species